UACGGGGGGGGGCAAGCGUUGUUCGGAAUUACUGGGCGUAAAGCGUGCGCAGGCGGUUUUGUAAGUCAGAUGUGAAAUCCCCGGGCUUAACCUGGGAACUGCGUUUGAAACUACAAGGCUAGAGUGUGGCAGAGGGGGGUGGAAUUCCACGUGUAGCAGUGAAAUGCGUAGAGAUGUGGAGGAACACCGAUGGCGAAGGCAGCCCCCUGGGUUAACACUGACGCUCAGGCACGAAAGCGUGGGGAGCAAACAGG
rnacentral:rRNA from 1 species